GAGAGAGAGAGAGAGAGAGAGAGAGAGAGAGAGAGAGAGACUCCCUUACUUACUGAGUGAAGGAAGGCACAAGGGGCAGGACCACCUAACACGUGUGCCCAACCCCCCUUUUCCCUCCUCUAAACACACACACACUCUGUACCUCUCUUGAGCUUUCUUUUGCGGUGUCUCAGAGAGUUGUGUGUGCUGCCGCUGGUUCGACGCCUCUCUCCAUUCUGCCAGGGUGUGAGUAGUUAGAGUGUGAGGUAGACUGAACCUAUUAGACCGACUCCAGCUGUGUGGAGGAGCCCCGCACUUUUGUUCGAAUCACUUCCAUUCAGACGAUUGAAGACAUCAUGAAGUUUGAGCUGCUGCUGUUUGCCCUGGUUGGGCCUUUCUGUGCCAUCACACACGCAAGUACUCUGGUGGUGACCACAGCACAGGACCUGGCCAGUGUGACAGAAACUGUUAGAGAAGCUAUUGAUGCUACAGAGCCACCAAAGGAGCAGGUCACAACAGUAGCUCCAGAGGAAGCUGUCAAUGAAGUAUCUGUACUACCUGCUACUAAAGCUGCUGUGACAGAAACAGAAGCACAAGUAACUGAUACAGAAGCUCCAGUCGUAUCCACAGUGGUAGCUCCAGAUGGGCCUACUGUCACAGAAGCUACACCUGAGCCUGAUGAGACAACAAGUGUGGUAGUAACAGUGGCAGCUGUAGGGACAGUGGCAGCUGUAGGGACAGAGCCAGCUGUAGUGACAGAGGCAAAAGAAGAGGAAAAUGCAGCUCCAGAGGCCGAAGCAGAGUUAGAGCAAGAGACUGCAACACAGGCAGAUGUGGAAGUGGAAGAUUCAGGCUUGAGUACAGGCCAUGUGGUGGGCAUUGUGAUUGGUGCCCUGGUAGCUGUGGUCAUCAUCAUCGCUGUGAUAGUUGUGGUGGUCAGGAGGAUGGGCCAAUACUCGGCUGCAAAGAAACGAAAACCUCAAAAACAAGACGGCAUCAUGAUCUCUCCCCUGAAAAGGAAGGCAGCGCGACAGGAAGAGAAGAAGAAAAAGUUCUUGAAAUUCUGAACUACUGAACCGACGUCAUUUCCUGUCAUUAAACAAAAAGCAAGCUAGGAGCACUCUGAACCAUCCAGGACUAUGAGGACGGUGUACUCACGCUCCCUCCCCACCACCACCAACCACAGAGCUAUUGAUAUGGAUGCUCUGCCCAACCCCCAUCAUCUCCCCUAUGUGUACCCCCCUCCCCCACCCCCUCACUACCAAAGAUUGAGACAGGAAGUCAAACCGACCCUCUGUGUUCUUAGGCACAGUAAUGUAAAGGAAAAGAGAGAGAGGAGGAAUGUGAAUGUGCAGACACACCUCACAGAGUCAGGGUCUGGAAAGAGGACCUAAUGAACCACAUUAACAAACACACACAUACCAGCAACCUUAAUAUCUGUCGACAUAUCUCUUAAAAACUAGGGAGAAUUAUAGGCAAUGAAAUAAAUACAUACAUUUCUGUAUUUAUACCAGAAGAUGGAGAUCAUAAACAAUAAAAGUCUCAAAUCGUCGCUGUCAUAUCAAAACCGUGUACCAUCCUCUUUUUUUUUAGGUUUUUAACUUUUCUGAUAUGCAAGGGAAAUAUAUUUCCAUAUGUUUUUCAAAAGAUGUGUCAGGUUUGUAAUAAAUUUUGACAUAUGUGAAUUUAGAAAUGGACACUAUUACGUUUAUUACAUCUACAUAAGUGCACAUAUGUAAAUGUAUUGCCAUAUAUGCAUAUAUUGUCAUAUAUUUCAUUAUUAAAAAUGGCACAGGUAGACAUAUUUGGAACAUAUAUUUUAAAACAUCACGUAUAUUGCACAUAUAUUUUUAAUAUGAGCAAAUGUAUGUGCAUAUAAUUUUCUUCCAUGUAGGUAUUAUUGUUUACACCAUUGGAAAACACCAGCUCCCCUUUACAUUGUGUGAACAUUUCACAGUAAUGGACCAACAGAAAAGGUCCAAACUAAAAUAAUAGCUUGUUACAUUGAUGUACAUUCAGGUUAAGAACAUGUUGUCAUUCUUAAGACCUGAGUUUUUGUUACAACAGCGACAAAACACAAUCUUCAUCUGCCAUUAUCUUAAUUUUCAUAGCAUUCUGCAUAUCGUUAGCAUGCAUGCACACACAUAGACGCUCUAUGCACAUUCUUUUCCAAUCACAAUGACAGGUCAACUGAAAUGUCCGGCAGUAGAAUGAAGCAAUAAAGACAGCUUAUCACCAGAUUCUAAACAGGAGACUGUAAGCUGUUAUAAGCUGUCACAAGCAGACUCUGUUAGGAUGUCUUACGCCUGGUCUUAGUGUAGCUUUGACUGUUGAAUAAAGUUUGUUUCGUAUGUAGAUGUAACUUGACAUUCUAGUAGCUUUAACUGUGGCAUUUAAAGCCUUAAUCCGGAGCUGUGAACCUUAGCAGAGGGGCUAGCACCACUGACUUGGGGACAGCUGGAUACUUCCUAAAAAUGGCUUCUUUAAUGUGAAACUGAAUUGACUGUGUUUGUUAACAGCCUCCCUUACCAAUAGUAAAUCUCAUCUCAUUUUGCGUUUCCCAAAUUUGGACUAUAUUUACAGAUGUAAAAAGCCUGUAGACACCAUCUCUAUCUGCUGUCUACAAUAUGUGGUCUGGCCUUCAGAUUUGUGUACUGACCUCUGGUUCACUGGACUAGAAGUGGUUCUUUUUGCUGCAUUUUUAAGGGGUGUGUGAGUUAUGCUCUGCUUGCUUUAAGAGAUCAAUAAUACAUGCACUGACUGAUAAACAAUGUUUGGUAGAAAAGGCCUUUAGACACUGCAACCGUUUGCAACGAUGCUUGAUUUGCCUUUUUUAUGCUUCAUAGUCCACAUGCCAAGUCCUUUUACUGUCUGCUUUCAACAAAAGGCAUUUUAUUUAAUUGCAGUGUUUUUUCUCCCUUUUUGGAUGUUCAUACUGUUUAAAUAAAAAAGUGAAAAAAGAACAGUGUGAAUUUCUUCAGUAUUGGGGGUCUGGGGGUUGUCAACC
ensembl:lncRNA